GGUGAACGCUGGCGGCGUGCCUAAUACAUGCAAGUCGAGCGAACAGACGAGGAGCUUGCUCCUCUGACGUUAGCGGCGGACGGGUGAGUAACACGUGGAUAACCUACCUAUAAGACUGGGAUAACUUCGGGAAACCGGAGCUAAUACCGGAUAACAUGUUGAACCGCAUGGUUCAACAGUGAAAGACGGUCUUGCUGUCACUUAUAGAUGGAUCCGCGCCGCAUUAGCUAGUUGGUAAGGUAACGGCUUACCAAGGCAACGAUGCGUAGCCGACCUGAGAGGGUGAUCGGCCACACUGGAACUGAGACACGGUCCAGACUCCUACGGGAGGCAGCAGUAGGGAAUCUUCCGCAAUGGGCGAAAGCCUCACGGAGCAACGCCGCGUGAGUGAAGAAGGUCUUCGGAUCGUAAAACUCUGUUAUUAGGGAAGAACAAAUGUGUAAGUAACUAUGCACGUCUUGACGGUACCUAAUCAGAAAGCCACGGCUAACUACGUG
rnacentral:rRNA from 1 species